rnacentral:snoRNA from 1 species
UACCCAUGAUGUGGACACUUUAAGAUUAGCCCAUCGAAUCGCUCCCAUGCAUCGAUAAACUGCUCGUCUUCUCUUUGGGUAAACUUUGAAAUUUCCUUGCGAGUAG